rnacentral:rRNA from 1 species
GACGAACGCUGGCGGCGUGCCUAAUACAUGCAAGUCGAACGCAGUGGGGACGGGUGAGUAAAACGUGGGUCACUUCCAAUAAGAGGGGAUAACACUUGGAAACAGGUGCUAAACAGAUUCUGGUGGAUGGACUCGCGGUGCAUGAGCUAGUUGGUGGGGUAACGGCUCACUAAGGCAACGAGGCAUAGCCGACCUGAGAGGGUGAUCGGCCACACUGGGACUGAGACACGGCCCAGACGCCUACGGGAGGCAGCAGUAGGGAAUCUUCGGCAAUGGACGAAAGUCUGACCGAGCAACGCCGCGUGAGUGAAGAAGGUUUUCGGAUCGUAAAACUCUGUUGUUAGAGAAGCGGUAUCUAACCAGAAAGCCACGGCUAACUACGUGCCAGCAGCCGCGGUAAUAC